rfam:Mesocricetus auratus contig066739, whole genome shotgun sequence.
AUGUUGUAUGAAAGGAGAGGUUAGCACUCCCCUUGACAAAAAUGUUCUACACUCUUCUUACUCUUCAGCACUAUCAAGUAAUAAGAAACAAGUACUUGGAAAACGAAAUUGAAACAAUAACUAUUU